rnacentral:rRNA from 1 species
AUUGAACGCUGGCGGCAGGCCUAACACAUGCAAGUCGAACGGUAGCGGGAAGCUUGCUUCUCUUGAGUGCGGCGCACGGGUGUGUAAUACCUAGGCAUCUGCGUGCUAGUGGGGGAUAACGUCCGAAGACGGACUCUAAUACCGCAUGCGCCCUGCGGGAGAAAGCAGGGGACCUUGGGGCCUUGCGCUCUCAGAUGCGCCUAGGUCGGAUUAGGUAGUUGGUGGGGUAAUGGCUCACCAAGGCGACGAUCCGUAACUGGUCUGAGAGGAUGAUCAGUCACACUGGAACUGAGACACGGCCCAGACUCCUACGGGAGGCAGCAGUGGGGAAUAUUGGACAAUGGGCGAAAGCCUGAUCCAGCCAUGCCGCGUGUGUGAAGAAGGUCUUCGGAUUGUAAAGUACUUUAGUUUGGGAGGAAGGGCAGUAAAUUAAUACAGAGCGGUUUUGACGGUACCGAAAGAAUAAGCACCGGCUAACUACGUG